AAGUCGUAACAAGGUUUCCGUAGGUGAACCUGCGGAAGGAUCAUUACAAAUAAAGCUGGUAGGAAGUGGGGUCGUUGAUCUGGUAAGUCGGUACGAGCAGAACAAGUUACCGGAUGCCUUCCCCGAAAUGUCUUACAUGUGCCCCCAACAGACCUUGAAUGGCCGAUUUGACACCCCUUAGGAUUUAUUCUUACCAAUCUUAGCUAGCUUUUGGGGAUUGGCAUCAAGUUAGCCCCCAGAGGAUCCCUACUCUCUUGCAUUUAGUGAACGUCAUGAGUACUAUAUAUACUUAAAAA
rnacentral:misc_RNA from 1 species